UAAGGUGCACAAUAGUCCUUUGAUUCAUAUAAUCGUCUGCCAGUGUGACCCCUAUUUCAGUGUCAUUUCAAUAGGAAAUGCAGUUACUGAGCAAUGGGGGAAAGACUUAGCGACAUCGUCACACUCAUGAAUAAGAUGUCAGAUUCUAAAGCGAGAGGCAUUUAAAGGAAAGGAUGAUGCAAAGACGAGAAAAGGACUGUCGCAUUGCUUAGCUCACAAGUGGGCAGAAGGCAGAUCGGUAUUUACUAGUAGAUAGAUCUCUGGGUGAUUUGCAAUAGAUCAGCAAAGAUUUCUGACUCUUAUUUCUGUUGUUACAUAAAUUUCUGUUUAUUUCUGUUAUUACAGAAAUAACAAAUUGACCUGUUUUCACUGAAAUUAGACUCUGGAAAUGAAGAAAACCAGGAGCAAACUUUUCUGUGAAUGCCCUGUGAGCAUUUUCCACCCCAUCCUGUAUGCGGCACUGUUUCUGUUCCAUUGCAGUUCAUCUUCUGCUAAAGAUGACAUUAUUUGUCUCCUGUGCUUUGGUGAAAUUAUAUAACACAUGUCAUUUAGAUAAUUCUUUGUCACCUUUUAGCUUUAAGUGAGAAUAUCAAAAGACAAACUGCUUUGCGGUUUCCCCCCUGAUAAUCAAGCGGUGUAGAAAUUUUAUGAAAUAAAUAAUAAAUAAAUAAAGAUCCCAAAUGCAAUAUUCUGAUAUUUAUAAAGAAUUUUUUUAAACAACAACAACGUUACUACCCAGCACCAAUAAUUAUUAUUAUAUUUUCCUGGGAAUGUGGAUGAAACAACCGUUUGUCAAUGGUUCGAACGAUUGCAUAUUUCCUUGGUGUUUAUGUAGCCUAUAACCCGUGACACCUGCACUGCAAUUCCAUGCAUGUCUACUCAGAAGUAAGUCACAUUGAGUUCAAUGGGGCUUACAUCCAUGUAAGCUUAAAUAGGAUUGCAACCUGUGUUUUUUCACCCCAUUUCCUCAUUCUGUGUGAAGAUGUGUGGAAGCAAAGCAGAAAAGUGCCACAACACCAUGAAUUAAUAUUAAUCCAGUUUAGAAUUGUAAUGUCUUGAGAAGGGGGAAGGGGAGAUUAUUCAAACCUCUGGGCUAUAUAUAAAAGCUAAUUAUAAUC